rnacentral:rRNA from 1 species
UACGAAGGGUGCAAGCGUUAAUCGGAAUUACUGGGCGUAAAGGGUGCGUAGGCGGUUCGUUAAGUCUGUCGUGAAAUCCCCGGGCUCAACCUGGGAAUGGCGAUGGAUACUGGCGAGCUAGAGUGUGGCAGAGGAUGGCGGAAUUCCCGGUGUAGCGGUGAAAUGCGUAGAGAUCGGGAGGAACAUCAGUGGCGAAGGCGGCCAUCUGGGACAACACUGACGCUGAAGCACGAAAGCGUGGGGAGCAAACAGG